GGAAAUUGAGACAGGAAAGUGACUUGCUUGAUGCAGUUUUCAGCAUCAUAUCUACAAUUAGGAAGCAGAGAUGGAUGUUUGUGCUCACGUUUCCUCUUUAUACACAAUCUUGAAUCCCAGCCCAGGGAAUGGCUGAACCCACAAUAGGCCAUCUUCCUAAAGUUAGUUAACCUAAUUAAGAUUAUCCCCCAUUCCCACAGGUCCGUCUUCCAGUGGACUUAAGAUCUCAACUAGAAAAUUGAAAUUAGCUAUUAUAGGUCUUUUAAGAGGUAACGUUAUCAUGAGGUUGUUAAGACCAAUCCUAAUCUGAUAUGACCACUGUCCCUCUGCCCUUGUAAGUUAAAGGGGGCUGUGGAGAUGCCCCAGUUGGGGAAGGGUGCUUGCUGAUAGUAUGGAGUACCUGCAUUUGAUCUUCAGAAUCCAUACAGUGAAGAGAGAACUCACUUUCGAAAACUGUCCUCUGACUCCACAUAUAAGCCAUAGUGCAUGCAUGCACAGCUAGCUAAAGCAACAUACAUUUAAAAAAUGAACAAAUUGGAAUAUAAACAGACACCAAAGGGAGAUCACACAAAGUCAGGGAGGAGGCAGCCACCUGCAAGCCUCAGAAAGAGGCUGAAACAUCUUCUCUCACAGCCUUCUAUAGCCGGUCUUAGCUACUUUCCUCUUUUUCUCACCCUUUAUCCCCCUGGUUUCACCCCCAUCACUAGAUAGGAGAAAAAGAAGGAUAGAGAGGAGAGAUAGAUCCUGAACCUAUUUUCUUUCUUAUUGUUUCUUCUUUGAGCACCACUACUGACCACAACCAACCUCCCUGGAUGACCAACAACCAUCCAGACCUCUCGAAGGCCCCUAACAUCUAUAUACCCUCUGAAAGUGCCGAGAAUUCCAAAUGUCACACAGUUACUGGAACCAUCUGCAGCUGGAAAUCACGCCCCUGCUGGAGCAUGAGGCAAGUCAUAGUCAGCUUCUAUGAAGAAUCUGAAGCAGCCCGAUAUCCCACACCUGGGAUCAAAACAAAACCGUAUUCUUAUACUUCUCUGUGUGUGGGUUUUUUCUUAAGAAACCAAAAUUCCAAAAUUGUCACUAUAGCCCUCAGAAGGAACCUACUUUGUAGACACUGUGAUGUUGCAAUUUUGUAUCCAGGACCUUGAGCAAAUAACUAUCUCUGAUUCAAACCAGUAGAUACUUUGUUGGCCCCAGAAAACUCACAAAAACUAAAGAGAGUAAAGUCAGAAACUUUGAAAUUGGAUGCCUAGCUUGCACAGAAAUGCCAGGGUUUAUAGCUCAUCACUCACAACUUUGUAUUUUUUGUCAGCCCCCCCCACCCCCAGGAGAACUAAGUUUGCUAUUUCAUGUUUGAUACUUUCUUGUCUCUGCCAUGGAAACAAUAGUAAUAAUAAUUUUUAAAACUCACUUUAUUGGAUUUACUGUGUGUCUUAGUUAGGGUCUGCAUUGCUGUGAAAAGACACCACAAACAAGGCAACUCUUAUAAGGACAACAUUUAAUUGGGGCUGGCUUACAGGUUCAGAGGUUCAGUCCAUUAUCAUCAAGGUGGGAGUAUGGCAGCGUCCAGGCAGGUAUGGUGCUGGAGAAGCUGAGAGCUCUCUACAUUUUGUUCCAAAGGCAAACAGGAGCAGACUGACUCUUCUACACUGGGAGGAGCGUCAAACCCAUGCCCCCACACUGACACACUUCCCCCAACAAGGCCACACCUCCUAACAGUACCACUUCCUAUGGGCCAAGCAUAUUCAAACCACCACACUGUUGUCAGGAAGCUUAGCUUGAGAAGGUGGUUUCUGGAGUCAUUAUUAUUUUUAAGAGCAGCCUAGCUCGUUUGGAAAACCACUCUGUCUGUCAACAUUUUAGUCAGAGGUGACCUCAUGAUGUGUACCUGGAAAAACCAAUUUAUUCACUUCAUCAAAAAAUUCAAGCUCUGAAAAUUGAGAAAGAAUAAAAUCUUAAUUAGCUUGUGUUAUAUGAUUUUUUUUCAAUUAAAGAAAAACAAAGGGAUUUAAUUAGAUUAAAAAUGCUAAGGAAAUAGGUUGUAUUGCUAGUUAUGAAAAGACUCAACUUUUGAAUAAGGUCAUUGUUAGUUUGUAGAGACGUUAGAGAUGUUUUUGUUUUCAAAUAAAAAAUGUGCUGGGCUUCUUAAUUCAUGACCUUUAUGCUUAAUUUGCUUACUGGAGCAUCAUUGACAGCAUAGUCCAGUGCAGUUUUAAAACUAGCUUAAUGAUUGAUUCUGCCUCUAUAAAAAUGUCUGCUGUUCCUUUAUUCUCCUUUUUAAAAUAGGUAGAUAUUCUAGAGAUGCUUUCUGGCAGGUUUAGACCUGCAGUGUUGUUCAAUCCCUGGCUUAGAAUUAGCUUAGCUGCUCCAAUCACUGAUUCUAAAUGUGUGCUUAAAUUGGUUUUCAUUUAGAUUUCUUUGCUUUGUUUCAUGUGUAUGCGCGUCUCGCCUGCAUGAAGGCCUGGUACCCUUUGAGGUCAGAAGAGGGCAUUAGAUUUCCUGGAGUUGGAGUUAUGGUUGCUUGUGAGCCACAACUGCAGUUAAAUAAUGUGUAAAAACAAACAUUUAAUCAGAUUUUUAAUUAUCAUUUUAACCAAGCUUUCUUCUUUCCCCUGUUUUUCUCUUCCCUUCCCUCCCACCUUCUUCCCCCGUUUCUUUCCCCCUCCCUCCUCCCCUCCCUCCCUCUUCCCCUCCCUCUCUCCCUCCCUCUCUCCCUCCUCUUCGACAAGGACUUAUGUAGUUGAAACUGAUCUUGUAACCAAGAAUAGCUUUACUUCAAAUUCUUGAUUCCCCCCUUACCUUCCAUCUCUACCUCCCAAGUGCUGGCAUUACAGGUACCUGACACCAUGGCCUGCUCCUAAGCAUUUUCUCACUUGAAGGGCUUUGAACACACAUGAAGGGCUUUGAACACACAUGAAGGACUGUGAACACACAUGAAGGAAAGGCUAUGAACAUAUCAGGCUUUUUCUAGGUAAUUACAUCAAUAUUUCAGGGAGUGUUGCCCCCCUUUGACCUAGUCAUCUUCCACUGGAUUCCUCCUUUAAACAAUGCCACACUGGGAUCAAGCUUUCUCUACAGCAACCUUUGCAUGCACAGCACAGCAGCUUCUGAGCUUUGGGACAGCUGGCAUUUUGAGCCAGUUUCUCCCUUCAGGCUCCUGAUUUGAGUUCCUGCACUGAAUUCUCUCAGGAAUGAUAGACAGUUACCUGAAACCGUGAGCUGAAAUAAACCCGUUCUUCCACCAACUUGCUUUUGGUCACAGUCUUUAUCACAGCAUAAAAACCCAACUAAGAUAGAUGACAAGCCAACGUCAAGCUAAUAUGUCAAUGCAUUUCUUCUAUAAAGCCAGGUUAGCUGCAGAUCCUUAAG
rnacentral:lncRNA from 1 species